ACGACGUUCGACCCAACUACCUUCACUUUGCUAAUAGUCGUUGACUUGCUGCGUUUUGUUAUCAACUACCUACAUCAAUUAGGUAGCUGUGUAGAAUCGCAGUACAUUCUUAUUACAUUCAAACCAAUAUUUAACCCGGCCUCGCGUGUUAUUUCUUACAUCAGAAGCGGGAUAGAAUUCAAGCCCAUACUUUUUAAAUGUGUUUGAGUUUACGUAGUUUUGUAACGGCAUACUGGCGUUUGUGUUUUUUCGUGCGUUGUGUGAAGUAAAAGUUUGUUGCGUGGAUUAUUGUAACGGGAAUGUAGUUCAUCGAAGGAAUUGUGUGUGCUAUCCGGACUGCGCCCUGCGGUUCGGGGUAGUUGAGCCUUCAUUUGUGUUAAGCGAACGUCGUGCCUAUGUCACAAAUGAGUAGGCGUUGUUCCCAUGAUACGCGAACGUAGUGCCUAUGUCAUGUGGAUGUGAUUGUUGUUCUGUAAGGUCAGUGUGGCCGAGGCAGGAUGGUUAAUGUGUAAUCCCGAGAUGAACUACCGUUGUACUGUAAUACGAGAAAAAGGCGUACGAGGACGUACGAUUGUCAGUAUGGCCGUGUUAGACGUAACUUUUGAUUUAAUAUUUUUGUGGAUGAAUAGUUGUCAACAUACUUCGUUGACUUGCUGCGUUUUGUUAUCAACUACCUACAUCAA